CAUCUUAGCAAUUUCUCUCUUUCUCUUCCUCUCUCUGUCUCUCCCUCUCCUAUGUGGCUUGGUGGUACUUACUCAGUCCAUGCACCCAUUGUCUCCCAAAACACACAUGCUCAAGCAAGUAUACACACGGGUGCACACUGAUGUGUAAGCAUGCACCCAAGGCAGGUGUGCACGUAUAGUUUACCACACCACAGACUACAGGGCAGAUGUCUCCUGCUCUCCUCUGAAUACUUUUUGAGGAGUUGGUUUCCAUCUUUGCCUGUUUUUUCUGCAUGUCUCUCUCCUCCAUUAAUCUCUCAAAGGCACACAGAAACUCCUCUUAUACAUACCAUGCCCACAUAUUUCUUCCAUUGCUUGAUCAAUACACUUCUGGACUCUAAGAACUGUUUAGGGAUGUUUCUGGGGAAUGUUAAAAAGACAUAGAAUUGCUAAUCCUUACCAGAAUUCAGUGUUAUGAUCACAUCAUUUCUUCUGGGACAGUACUGUAGGAUAGUACCAGAUGAUGAGAAUGGCACUGUGACUUUGUCACCACCUGGCCAUAAGAUCACAAGUAAAUCUUCUGAUCAUUUUGUAUUUGCAGCUCCUCAGGGAUGGUGAGGAUGCCCAAACCUGCCUCAUGAGCUUUCAAAACGGAAUCAUGGGGAAGACUGGUUCUAAUUCUUCUCUGCCUCUUAAUGGUGUGUAAGUCUGCCAGAUCACUCUGUGUGCCAUCACCCUCAAAUGGUAUGGCAGAUGCAGGACAGAUGUCAGUGAGAUGGGUGGCUAGACUGCGUGCGGGUCAGAGCAUGCCCCAUCUGACUCCGACUGCCUGUGACACUCCUGGCAUGUGAGCACUAGAGAAUAUUUAGUCUUCCCAUGCCUCAGUCUCUGCUCAGCCCCUCAGAUCCACUGACAUUGGUGGCACCCACUUCUAGCAUCAGAGAGAACCCUGGAACAGGUGCAAGAGAGGUAGGGAGGGUUUGAUGCAAAUGCCAGAAAUGUGCCUAGCAAAUAGGUAGAGCUUCAUAAAUGUUGUUUAUUAUUAGUGUUGCAAUUCUCUGAAAGAACAUGAGUUACAGUCACCUAUUGACUAUUGACAUGCAAUCUAAUCUGAGGCCAACUGACUCAUCUGAGUUUACAGAACCAACAGAGAUUAGGGGGUCAAGCAUAGGAACUAGGAAGCUCAGCCAAGCUCUGUCCACUUGUCAGGUUGCCCUAUGGAGGAUAUGAAGCUGUAAUCGAAGACAGUUUCCUAACAUAGUGCCUUGCUGCUUUGACAAUAUCAGGUAUCAGCUUCUCUGGGAACAACAGAGCUGUGCUUGCUGAUCAUAGAACACUCUGGAGGACGAAGUCAGCUAUAUUUCAUUUCUGGAGCAGAUACAGUGAUGGUUAUUAACAGGACAGGUCCUGUCCACAAAGGCAGCAUGGAGGUUCGGGUCCAACAGGAGCAUCCCCAUCACAGACCAGUUCCAAGCCUCUUCCUGGGAAUGAGAACUGAUGUCUUGUAUCCAUUGUGUCUUCACUUCUGUGACCACAAAAGGAUCUAUUCCUCCAUCCCACUAACUUAGGAUAUCCAACUGCCUGGAAAACAUUAACAACGUAUUUCAAUUCUACAGACUAAAUCUACUAUGUUGUUUGGUUCUAAAAUCGGUAACUCUCCUCAAGUCAUUUCCACGGAACCUUCUGCUUAACCAGUGCUGUUUCUUAUUCUUACUGUUGCUGUUAUCACUGAGGGUCCAGGCACAGUGAAAGAAUCAUAAUCAAGACUGACUUGAGAGAUACUUAGAAAGAUAAAGCAAUCAUGGAUGUUCUUCAAGGGACUAGGAACCCAUUUAUUGAACAUCAUGUAUGUAUCAGGCACUCUGCUGAAUACAUAACACAUGACAGCCUCUAAUCAUUCUAACUAUUGUAUCAGGUAGUUGUUAUGAGACUAAUUACAUAGACAAGGAAACUUCAACUAAACCUCUUUCUUCCUAGAAUACGAGACAAUGGUAGGUUUUAUUUUUGUCAGUUAAAUACACUAGUAAUAACUCAGAAUAUCCAAACAUGCAUCAGGGUUGCAUUAAGGAAAGGGAACCAAAUGAAUGCUUUCUUUCGGAGUAUUUUUACCAAUAGUAAGCCCCAGUUCGAAUUCUCUACUUUGUCCCUGUGUUUUCUGUUUUCUGCUCUCUGUUGCAUGUGUCUGAAUCUGUGUCCCUAUGUUUGCCUGAUGUCUAACUGCCCCUGGUCCCUAACAUAGAGCUCUGCUUUUUUUUUCAUUGGUCAGUGCAGAAAACAUCAGAUGGAGAAGGAAUAAGGAAUACUUUAUGGAGAUCUUUAACAGAAUUCGUUCUACAAGAGAAUGAACUUUACUGACUCCAGCUGACUCAGACAACAAACAGCACUGCAGUUAUCACUGCACACAUAGUUAUCAACCUAUGCUUCCAGUAUCCACAGUGAAUAUUUGUUUUGUAAAGUUGCUUUCAACUUAUUUGUUGUUUUCAGCAUUUAUUAAUAUACCAUCUAUUUCCACAUCCAUUGCUCAUAGGUUCAGAGCAUGAAAGAGGACAUAACUCAAAAUUAAAGUCAUGCAUAACCUUAGGCUGAAAUUUUUGAUUACAUGAGAAAUUCAAGACAAGUAAGGCUAGUGGUUAUAUUGUUCUCUCAAAGGCAGGUGAAACAAACAGGCAAGUACACAGUAGGAUAGCUGUCUUUUUAAUUUUUUUUAAAAAGACAGUUUCUGGUAUAUUUUAGUGCUGGUAGUCCUGAAAGUCACCGAGAUCCACCAGCCUCUGCCUCCCAAGUGAUGGGACCAAAGGCAUGUCCCCACAUGGCUGGCCAUUGGAUAGGGGUCUUAAGUCUUAUGUGACAUAAAGCUCAGAUGUGAGGUUCCAGUCUCUUUGAGCGUAAGGGAUAUUUUCAAAAUAAUCUAUCACGAUAGAGCUAAAGAUUGUUCCUAAGAGGACCCGAUAUGAUUUCUUUUCAUCAUCCAUGAAAGAGAAUUUAACAUUUCUCUCAAUCUGAAGGGAGAACCUGGAUAUCACUGAGGGGAAAACUUGUUCAGAAGCUGAAGCAUAGUGGCUGACAAUGCAGAUUCCCUAAGUCACAAGCCACUGCUUAUGACCAUGCUCAGACCAUAGAAAUUCACAAGGAAACCAAGAACCAUGGAUUUAGGUGAUUUUUGUGAAGUCUUUUAAAGUGGCUGAUGGAAAAUUAGGAUAAACUCCUGAACUCAUUGUUAAUAAAUCAAAGUAUCAAAAAAUAAAAAUUUAUAUAAAAUCACCAGACUCAGGAAUUUGCUAAGAACUUCCUAUAGAAAUCACAGUCUCCUCACUGAUAUUUGAUUACUUAUGAUCCUAUAUCUAUAAAAAUUCACACAUGCGUGCGUACACACAUACACACACACAGACACAGACAAGGACACACACUUACAUGCACAUUCAUGCACUAAGGUAUGCCUCUCUGGGUCUACUUUUUUUUAAUUCUUAGUACUGGAACAAAUGACUUUUAUACAGGCAUAUGACUUCUUUGAAAAAGGAGACAACAGUUUCAAGCUUUUUCACAUUAUAUGAACAAAUUCUAGCAAUGAGAUGUAAAUGAAAAUGUUGUGUAUAUCACUGAAUAUCCUUAAAGAGAAAGGAGUGUACCUUUUAAAUGGCCUUUUUUGUUGUUGUUGGAAGGCAAAAAUAUGACUAGAGUUUGAACAGCCAUUUUGGGCCAUUUAUGUUGCCAUAAAGGCAACAUAUGCAGAAUGAUGGCAGAAAAAACAAGACACUUUGGGGAUAAGGAUUUCACUAUAUCAGCCCCAUUCAGCCCGUUACUGAGCUGCCCACAUCUGAACGUCACUUAAAUAAUGGAAAUUGGACAUGGAAGUUUCUGAGUUUUUUUUUUUUUUUUAAACUCAGUUGUGUCAUGUGAAGUUUUUCUGGAAGGUGUCUUGUGAGAGGAAGUUUUGCUAAAGCAGACAUGUAACAGGGAUGCUUUGCUGAAGCAGACAUGUAUGAGGGCAUGUGAUGUAUGGAAAGAGUAUUAGAGGAACCCCAUAAACAGUGAGAGGUCACUCUUGAAUUAGGAUGCCAUGCAGUGCUUUUCUGGGCUUCGUUGGACUUCGCUGAGCUUCACUCAACACUUUGUUGGUCUUCAAUUCAAAGAGAGGAGUGCACCAGAGAACUUUGUAGUCAUAUUCCAGCAGAUUCCUGCAUCUUCUGUUGACUCAUGCCUAUUCCACAGAGCCUUUCUUUUCUGAUGGUUUGAGCCACUACUACUGAUUCAUGUUUGGUGUUUUCCAUUAGACUGGACUGCUAGUAUAUUGACAAGGAAAAGUGGAAUUGCCCUCAAAAAACCUGCUUCUAAGCAGAUCCACAAACCUUGUUUCCUAUAAACCUUUCUUCCAAACCUCUAGUUGAUGGGUUACAGGGAGUCUGAAGCAUUAUAGAAUCCUAAAUAAAGAAGGUUUAGAGAAAUCUAAAGCUGAAGAAAAUAAACCUCAGUGUUCCUUAUACAUGCAUCUUGCAUAGAACCAAAUGGAACUUUGGGUAAAUUAAUGUGUGUAUUUAUGAAUUUUGAAUUUUUGUAUGUGUAUGCACAAAGAAAAUAUUUGGAUUAGAUGGGUUUCUUCUGUAGAUUUAUAAAGAUUAUUCAUGAUAUAAUUUAAAUUGAAAAAGUAAGUUGUCAAUUUAUGAGUAUGACAUAAUUUUAGUUUGUAAAACAUUAAGAUAAACCCUCUGUGGUUUUGAAUAUUUGUAAGAAUUAUGAAAGAGGUAUGCUCAUAGUACUUGUUUCCUCAGAGAGACAGGGAAGAUGAUUAUCUUUGCCAUUAUAAAUCUUUGUAAUCUAGUUUCAUUUGCUAUAAUGAGUCUAUAUACCCUUUGUGAGUAUUAAAACUAUAUAGAGAGCCUUAAAAAGACUCAAAAAGAAAAUGAAGAUGAAGGUUCAAGUUUGCAAAUUUAAUUUAAUUAAGCUGUACUUGCCUAAGCUGACUUUGCCGGUGAACUGUGAGUUUGAUGAAGUAUUGGGUCAUUGGAGAACACAGACUGUAGAGCUUCAUUCAACCUGGGAGUAGCACACUAAACAAAACCAGCCUGUAAACUUUAUAAGGGAAUGCUAAAGAAGAUAAGCAAGAGAAAGACAAGAACCACUGCUUUCUCAAUUUGUGAAGAAGAGUGGGCCAUUUUCCCUUUUUCAUGUAAUACUUGUAUUUAUUCAUUGAGAAUUUUCAUAUAUGCAAACAAUGUAUUUUUUAGUUUUAUGUUUAUUCUGGAGCAUAAGUGGAAUAGACGAGCUACAAUUUUGUCUCUACAUUUUUAUCUCAUAUUAUUUAAAAACAUGGAUUCAUUUUUUUACUUAUUCAUUUUCUAUCCCAAUUGAAGCCCCCCACCCUCAUCUCCUCCAAACCCCAUCCUCACAUAACCCUUCACUGACUGCCCAGAAGUGGUAUAACUAUGGCUUGAGGUAUAAUUAUUCCUAAUUUUCUAAGAAACCACCAAAUUGAAUUCCAAAGUGGUUAUACAAGUUUGCACUCCCACCAGCAAUGGAGGAGUGCCUUCCUUGCUCUACAACCUCAAAGACAUGUCUUGUCACUUGAGUUCUGGAUCUGAGCCUUUCUGAGGGGUAUAAGAUGGAAUCUCAGAGUUGUUUUGAUUUGUAUUUCCUUAAUGACUAAGAAUAUCGAACAUUUCUUUAAGUGCUCAUCAGCCUUUGGAAAAUCCACUGUUGAGAAUUCUGUUUAGUUCUGUACCUCAUUUUAAAAUGGGUUAUUUGGUUUAUUGGUGUCUAAUUUAU